rnacentral:tRNA from 1 species
GGGCGGAUGGUUUAGUGGUAUAAUACUCCCUUAGCAUGGGAGUGGUCCAGGGUUCGAUUCCCUGUUCGUCCA